GUGUACGGCCAUACCACCCUGAACGUGCCCGAUCUCGUCUGAUCUCAGAAGCUAAGCAGGGUUGGGCCUGUGUUUCUUCUAAAAAUUAUUUUAGCAUUUCCUUAAUUUCUAGUGAUAGUUCUGCUAGUUGUCUGUA
rnacentral:rRNA from 1 species